rnacentral:tRNA from 1 species
AAGGAUUUAGUUUAAAAAAAACAUUAACUUGUCAAGUUAAAAAUAUUUAUAAAUAAUAAUUCUUA